AUUGAACGCUGGCGGCAGGCUUAACACAUGCAAGUCGAACGAGUGGCGGACGGGUGAGUAAUGCUGGGGAAUCUCGCUUAUGGAGGGGGAUAACUACGGGAAACUGUAGCUAAUACCGAGUACCAUAGGAUGAGCACACGUGGGAUUAGCUAGUAGGUGGGGUAACGGCUUACUUAGGAGAAGAUCUCUAGCGUGUCUGAGAGGAUGAUCAGGUACACUGUGGCUGAGACACGGCCCAGACUCCUACGUGAGGCAGCAGUGGUGUAUAUUGCACUAGUGGCGCAAUCCUGAUGCAGCCAGGCCGCGUGUAUGAAGAAGGCCGUAGGGUUGUAAAGUACUUUCAGCGGUGAGGCGUUACCCGCAGAAGAAGCACCGGCUAACUCCGUGCCAGCAGCCGCGGUAAUAC
rnacentral:rRNA from 1 species